UGCAGAUGAUGUGAAAGAAUAUUUGCUAUCUAAAUCAGCAAUGUUGACAAUUUCCGCCAAGAUCUCUGAUGCA